rnacentral:misc_RNA from 1 species
GGAGGAACCCCUACGACUACGAGCCAACAUAUACACCCGACGCGAUCCAACAUCAAUAAGUGAAGACCCCUACGCAGCCAUGUUCAUGUUUUUCUACGGCGUGGCUGUCAAAAUAGACUCGUAAGAAGAAAAGCUUACUUCUUCACUUCAUUUCUCUCUCCGUCACCAUAUGGAGGCUCUCCGUCUAACGCCGUCCCAGGCGCCCCCCCUCCGCCCUAACCGCCGCUCCAAAUUGACUCGACGCACCUUCCCUGGAUCCCACAAGAAUCCCAUCAAGCCGUUUAUCAAUGCCACCCUCUCUAAACCGGCGGCGGAGGUCCCUCCGUUGCCUACGCCAUCGCCUGCAUGUACGUCACCGACCUCUUCCUCCACAAGCACUGUUUCGAAUACUCCAAAGAGGGUUUCUCCCAAUUCUCUCCAGUACCCGCCCGGUUACGUAGGAGCCGUACCUGACCGUACGGUUCAUGACAGGACUAGUGACAUUAUAAACGCCAUGGGUUACUUGACGAAUAUAUUGUCUUCUAAGGUUUAUGACGUUGCGAUUGAAUCUCCCAUGCAGUUCGCUUCUAAGCUGUCGGACAGAUUGGGUGUCAAGUUUUGGCUCAAGCGAGAGGACUUGCAGCCGGUUUUCUCAUUUAAGCUGCGGGGAGCUUAUAAUAUGAUGGCAAAAAUUCCAAAGGAACAGUUGGAAAGAGGGGUUAUCUGCUCAUCAGCUGGGAACCAUGCCCAAGGUGUUGCAUUAGCUGCCAAGAAACUAGGCUGUAAUGCGGUGAUUGCUAUGCCUGUAACUACUCCAGAAAUCAAGGUACAUGCUGUUCAAUUUUACUUUUAUGAUUCAAUCAUGAGUAAUGAUUUGUUAGUUGAAUGAUAGAUUUGUUUCUUCUACAGUGGCAAUCUGUUGAGAGAUUGGGAGCAACUGUUGUUCUAGUGGGGGAUUCUUAUGAUGAGGCACAGGCAUAUGCUAAAAAAAGGGCCAAAGAGGAUGGUCGAACAUUCAUACCUCCUUUUGAUCACCCAGAUAUUAUUAUGGGGCAAGGAACAGUUGGGAUGGAAAUUGUGCGUCAAAUGCAAGUCCCAAUGCAUGCAAUCUUUGUGCCUGUAGGGGGUGGUGGGCUAAUAGCUGGUAUUGCUGCCUAUGUAAAGAGGGUUAAUCCCGAGGUGUGUUGGUUGUCACGCUAGAAGUUUCAUUUACUCUGUUACCUCUAAACUAUUCAAGAUAUAUACUUUAGUGUGAAUUAUGUUGGUAUUGCUACUAUUUUCUACAUAUUAAUUUUGGGUGAAGUUUCCAUGGAUUUUAGGAAUUUCAAACCUAUUAAUACCACUAUUAUGAUACUCAAAUGCAGGUAAAGAUCAUUGGGGUGGAACCCUCAGAUGCAAAUGCAAUGGCAUUGUCCCUUUAUCAUGGUGAGAGAGUGAUGUUGGAUCAGGUUGGCGGUUUUGCAGAUGGUGUGGCUGUUAAAGAGGUUGGUGAAGAAACUUUCCGUUUGUGCAAGGAAUUGAUAGAUGGUGUGGUUCUUGUAAGCCGUGAUGCUAUCUGUGCCUCAAUAAAGGACAUGUUUGAGGAGAAAAGGAGCAUUCUAGAGCCAGCAGGUGCUCUUGCCCUUGCUGGAGCUGAAGCAUACUGCAAAUAUUAUGGCCUUAAGGACAAAAAUGUUGUGGCAAUAACGAGUGGAGCAAAUAUGAACUUUGAUAAACUGAGGGUUGUGACUGAACUUGCCAAUGUUGGUAGGCAACAAGAGGCUGUUCUUGCAACUGUUAUGCCAGAGGAGCCUGGGAUGUUCAAACGCUUUUGUGAACUGGUGGGACCUACGAAUAUCACCGAGUUCAAAUACAGAUGUAAUUCUGAAAAGGAGGCUGUUGUUCUGUACAGUGUUGGGCUUCAUGCAGCUUUUGAAAUUGAAGCAUUGCAGCAGCGGAUGGAAUCUUCUCAACUAAGAACUUACAAUCUUACAUCAAGUGACUUGGUCAAAGAUCAUUUACGUUAUUUGAUGGGUGGCAGAUUGAAUAUUUGCAAUGAGGUUCUUUGUCAUUUUGUUUUCCCAGAAAGGCCUGGUGCUCUCAUGAAGUUCUUGGACGCUUUCAGUCCUCGUUGGAACAUUAGUUUGUUCGAUUACCGUGGGCAGGGUGAAACUGGUGCAAAUGUGUUGGUUGGAAUCCAGGUUCCUGAAAAUGAGAUGGAUGAGUUCCAUAACCGUGCCAACAAUGUUGGAUAUGCAUACGAUAUUGUAACUGAUGAUGACAACUUCCGGCUUCUGAUGCAUUAACCGGAGACACCCUGUGAUUUUUCAUCUGGAUUAUUCUACUAGCCAGCACUCGAACUUCUUGGAGCAAAGUGGAGAAGAAAAAUACAAUAUCGCCAACAUUUCUGUGUAAGCAAGCCAUUAUUGCUCUCUCUAAAGUGAAGAGGGAAGUUUUGUCUUAUGCUUUGUGGUUCUUUCGCUGUCAUUUUUGUAAUAUAUGAUGAGGGUAUCAAAAGCUUUAAAUGAUAAGUGGUGGUAUUGUAUUAAUUUCACAAAGGCUAAGCAACGCUUGAAUCCAAGGCAUAAUAAUGUUGUAUAUUUAUGAGGAAGCUUAGUGAUUUUUAUUUUAUUUUCUGGGAGGAUCGUAUGUGUGGUGCAGAAGUAUGCAUAUCAACCUAAAAUCUUCUAAAAGCACUAUCUUAUCCUACUCCAACAGGACAAUUUUAUUUCUAUUUUUUA